UUGAACGAUGAUGCAUUUAACGCUAUCCCUAAAGCCUGAAGUCAUUUCAUAAGGACAGAAAUUUUUUAUAUUGCCAUUCGUGGAGAUGGACGCAAUACGUGGCAUAUUGAUCCACGCAGCAAAUAAACAUACCCUGCAUUGGUUGAGCAGCUCUGUAUGGACUCCCAUCAUCGUACUGACGACGUAUUUUCUAUUAAGCUUCGUGAUAGUGCCAAAGAUUGCAAAAGAUCGAGAACCACUGCAAAUGACAUACUUUCUCCAUUAUUACAAUGCUUUCAUUCUACUGAGCAAUUUUUGCUUACUUAUUUACUUUUUGUAUUACCAAAUCACCGGACGUUUUAGUCCCAUAUGCCAAGCAGUUGGAGGAACUGAUGAGAAAUUGAAU